GCAGACACAUUCCAGCCAAUCAGCAGCAAACCCUCCCUCCCGGACCCUCCCACCUCCUGGACAGCAUCCAUUUUACAUUCAUUGUGAAGCUGCAUUCUUAAUGAGCUGUCCAGGAGGUGGGAGGGUCUGGGAGGGAGGGUCUGCUGCUGAUUGGCUGGAAUGUGUCUG
rnacentral:miRNA from 1 species